GAUGAACGCUGGCGGCGUGCCUAAUACAUGCAAGUCGAGCGAACAGAUGAGGAGCUUGCUCCUCUGACGUUAGCGGCGGACGGGUGAGUAACACGUGGAUAACCUACCUUUAAGACUGGGAUAACUUCGGGAAACCGGAGCUAAUACCGGAUAAUAUAUUGAACCGCAUGGUUCAAUAGUGAAAGACGGUUUUGCUGUCACUUAUAGAUGGAUCCGCGCCGCAUUAGCUAGUUGGUAAGGUAACGGCUUACCAAGGCAACGAUGCGUAGCCGACCUGAGAGGGUGAUCGGCCACACUGGAACUGAGACACGGUCCAGACUCCUACGGGAGGCAGCAGUAGGGAAUCUUCCGCAAUGGGCGAAAGCCUGACGGAGCAACGCCGCGUGAGUGAUGAAGGUCUUCGGAUCGUAAAACUCUGUUAUUAGGGAAGAACAAAUGUGUAAGUAACUAUGCACGUCUUGACGGUACCUAAUCAGAAAGCCACGGCUAACUACGUG
rnacentral:rRNA from 1 species